ensembl:snRNA U6 U6 spliceosomal RNA
GCACUCGCUUCGGCAGCACAUAUACUAAAAUUGGAAUGAUACAGAGAUUAGCAUGGCCCCUGAGCAAGGAUGACACUCAAAUUAGUGAGACGUUCCAUAUUUUU